rnacentral:rRNA from 1 species
GACGAACGCUGGCGGCGUGCUUAACACAUGCAAGUCGAACGAAGAGCGAUGGAAGCUUGCUUCUAUCAAUCUUAGUGGCGAACGGGUGAGUAACGCGUAAUCAACCUGCCCUUCAGAGGGGGACAACAGUUGGAAACGACUGCUAAUACCGCAUACGAUCUAAUCUCGGCAUCGAGGAUAGAUGAAAGGUGGCCUCUACAUGUAAGCUAUCACUGAAGGAGGGGAUUGCGUCUGAUUAGCUAGUUGGAGGGGUAACGGCCCACCAAGGCGAUGAUCAGUAGCCGGUCUGAGAGGAUGAACGGCCACAUUGGGACUGCGACACGGCCCAGACUCCUACGGGAGGCAGCAGUGGGGAAUCUUCCGCAAUGGACGAAAGUCUGACGGAGCAACGCCGCGUGAGUGAUGACGGCCUUCGGGUUGUAAAGCUCUGUUAAUCGGGACGAAAGGCCUUCUUGCGAAUAGUGAGAAGGAUUGACGGUACCGGAAUAGAAAGCCACGGCUAACUACGUG